UCAAGCCUUCAAGAUACUGGCAAUCCUGGCACAGAGUGUUCUUAUAAAUUCUUCUAUCCUAGUAUAAAAAGAUAUAAAACAUGCAAGUUGUAGUUGGCUUCCAAGGACCAUGACCAGUGUUUUGAUAUUGUCUGAGCAAAUAGGACUGAAACAA
rnacentral:lncRNA from 1 species